AUUGAACGCUGGCGGCAUGCCUUACACAUGCAAGUCGAACGGCAGCGGACCUUCGGGUGCCGGCGAGUGGCGAACGGGUGAGUAAUAUAUCGGAACGUACCUCUCAGUGGGGGAUAACGUAGCGAAAGUUACGCUAAUACCGCAUAUUCUGUGAGCAGGAAAGCAGGGGAUCGCAAGACCUUGCGCUGAUUGAGCGGCCGAUAUCAGAUUAGCUAGUUGGUGAGGUAAAGGCUCACCAAGGCGACGAUCUGUAGCGGGUCUGAGAGGAUGAUCCGCCACACUGGAACUGAGACACGGUCCAGACUCCUACGGGAGGCAGCAGUGGGGAAUUUUGGACAAUGGGCGCAAGCCUGAUCCAGCCAUGCCGCGUGAGUGAAGAAGGCCUCGGUUG
rnacentral:rRNA from 1 species